CCUACGGGUGGCUGCAGUGGGGAAUAUUGGACAAUGGGGGCAACCCUGAUCCAGCCAUGCCGCGUGUGUGAAGAAGGCCCUCGGGUUGUAAAGCACUUUCAGUGAGGAAGAACGCCUGGUGGUUAAUACCCAUCAGGAAAGACAUCACUCACAGAAGAAGCACCGGCUAACUCCGUGCCAGCAGCCGCGGUAAUACGGAGGGUGCGAGCGUUAAUCGGAAUUACUGGGCGUAAAGCGCGCGUAGGUGGCUUGAUAAGCCGGUUGUGAAAGCCCCGGGCUCAACCUGGGAACGGCAUCCGGAACUGUCAAGCUAGAGUGUAGGAGAGGAAGGUAGAAUUCCCGGUGUAGCGGUGAAAUGCGUAGAGAUCGGGAGGAAUACCAGUGGCGAAGGCGGCCUUCUGGACUGACACUGACACUGAGGUGCGAAAGCGUGGGUAGCAAACAGGAUUAGAUACCCGUGUAGUC
rnacentral:rRNA from 1 species